AAUCUUCCACAAUGGACGGAAGUCUGAUGGAGCAGCGCCGCGUGAGCGAAGAAGGUUUUCGGAUCGUAAAGCUCUGUUGUAAGGGAAGAACACGUCCGGGAUUCACUGCCCGUACCUUGACGGUACCUUAUCAGAAAGCCACGGCUAACUACUGGCCAGCAGCCGAGGUAAUACGUAGGUGGCAAGCGUUGUCCGGAAUUAUUGGGCGUAAAGCGCGGGCAGGCGGUCCUUUAAGGCUGAUGUGAAAGCCCACGGCUGAACCGUGGAGGGUCAUUGGAAACUGGAGGACUUGAGUACAGAAGAGGAAAGCGGAAUUCCACGUGUAGCGGUGAAAUGCGUAGAGAUGUGGAGGAACACCAGUGGCGAAGGCGGCUUUCUGGUCUGUAACUGACGCUGAGGCGCGAAAGCGUGGGGAGCAAACAG
rnacentral:rRNA from 1 species